rnacentral:rRNA from 1 species
CAAUAGCAUAUAUUAACGUUGUUGCAGUUGAAAAGCUCGUAGUUGAACUUUUGGUAGGAGCGACCUGGUCUUGGGCUGUAUGGUCCUUGUUUUACCGUGUGUCGUAUCUGGCCAUCCUUCUUUGUUCUUUUAAGGGGCAAGGAUCAUUUACUGUGAGUAAACUGGUGUGCUCAAAACAAGACGUAUUGUUUAGUACAUUUUAGCAUGGAAUAAUAAGAUAGGACCUAGUUACUAUUUUGUUGGUUUGCAUAGCUGGGUAAUGAUGAAUAGGAACAGUCGGAGGUAUUCGUAUUUAAUUGUCAGAGGUGAAAUUCUUGGAUUUCUGAAAGACGAACCACUGCGAAAGCAUUUACCAAGGAUGUUUUCAUUAA